UCGCGAAGGGGGUGUGAGAACGCGUUGAAGGAAAUUGCCCCAGGGUUGGUUAAAGCUAUGCAAACGCAGUGGGCUUCCGCGAAUGCAAAGAAGGCUGGGUCCCAAGGCUAUGAGAACUCGAAGGACCUGUGCGUUCGCAUAGAGUACUGGGCCUAUGCACAAAUUGCAGAAAAUCUGCUAAGUCUUUAAGAACAAAACCACCCCGAACGACCUCCAAAAUCACUCCCGAGCCCUCGGGGCUCCCAACAGAACACACACUAACUCAAUAUCAUCCUACGAACUUGCUCAAGCGAUCAAAUUGCUAGAAUAACAUCAAAAUCAAAGAAUCAACCUCCAAAACUCAUAAUUUCAUUUCAAAGUUCUUAACUUCCAAAUUUUCCAUUUUUUAGUCCGAAAUACGUCAAACAAAGUCCGAUUUCGACCAAAUAUUACAGGAAGCUCUUAAAUCACAUAUGUGACCUGUAUCGGGCGUCGGAACCAAAAUACGAGCCCGAUACCAGUACUUUUUGAUCAAAUUUUAAUAUUUUCAGAAAAUAAUUUCAUGGAAAAAUUCUUUUCUUGGGCCUGGGACCUCGAAUUUCGAUUUCGGGAAUACGUCCGAGUCCCAUAUUUUCCUGCGGACCCUCCGGGACCGUCACAUUACGGGUUUGGGUCCGUUUACCUAAAAUAUUGACCAAAGUCAACUAUAUCAAUAUUAUUAUCAAAAUUCAUAGUUUUGUAUUUCCACAUAAAAAUUUUCCGGAUUCGCGCCCAGACAGCGCAUGGAAAACGAAGCGACCAAAUAAGAGGUUUUCAAGGCCUCGAAAGCACAGAGAAAGGGAGAAUUACAGUGACGACCCUCUGGGUCAUCACAGAGGGAGGGAGCAGCCCGAGCUAUUAUUUGGUUUCAUUCCAUGUCCCUCUUCCUUACCUGUAUUUUUGUGUGUGGUUAUAAUGAUGAUUUGGCAUGACAGAUUUAUCGGCUGUCUUUGUAGG
rnacentral:lncRNA from 1 species